rnacentral:rRNA from 1 species
GAUGAACGCUGGCGGCGUGCCUAAUACAUGCAAGUCGAGCGAACGGACGAGAAGCUUGCUUCUCUGAUGUUAGCGGCGGACGGGUGAGUAACACGUGGAUAACCUACCUAUAAGACUGGGAUAACUUCGGGAAACCGUAGCUAAUACCGGAUAAUACUUUGAACCGCAUGGUUCAAAAGUGAAAGACGGUCUUGCUGUCACUUAUAGAUGGAUCCGCGCUGCAUUAGCUAGUUGGUAAGGUAACGGCUUACCAAGGCAACGAUGCAUAGCCGACCUGAGAGGGUGAUCGGCCACACUGGAACUGAGACACGGUCCAGACUCCUACGGGAGGCAGCAGUAGGGAAUCUUCCGCAAUGGGCGAAAGCCUGACGGAGCAACGCCGCGUGAGUGAUGAAGGUCUUCGGAUCGUAAAACUCUGUUAUUAGGGAAGAACAUAUGUGUAUGUAACUGUGCACAUCUUGACGGUACCUAAUCAGAAAGCCACGGCUAACUACGUG